rnacentral:rRNA from 1 species
UACGUAGGGUGCAAGCGUUGUCCGGAAUCAUUGGGCGUAAAGCGCGUGUAGGCGGCUCGGUAAGUCCGCUCUGAAAGUCCGGGGCUCAACCCCGGGAGGCGGGUGGAUACUGUCGAGCUAGAGUCCGGAAGAGGCGAGUGGAAUUCCUGGUGUAGCGGUGAAAUGCGCAGAUAUCAGGAGGAACACCUAUAGCGAAGGCAGCUUACUGGGCUGUAACUGACGCUGAGGCACGAAAGUGUGGGGAUCAAACAGG